rnacentral:rRNA from 1 species
ACUCCUACGGGAGGCAGCAGUGGGGAAUUUUGGACACUGGGCGAAAGCCUGAUCCAGCAAUGCCGCGUGAGUGAAGAAGGCCUUCGGGUUGUAAAGCUCUUUUGUCAGGGAAGAAACGGUGAAAGCUAAUAUCUUUUGCUAAUGACGGUACCUGAAGAAUAAGCACCGGCUAACUACGUGCCAGCAGCCGCGGUAAUACGUAGGGUGCAAGCGUUAAUCGGAAUUACUGGGCGUAAAGCGUGCGCAGGCGGUUUUGUAAGUCUGAUGUGAAAUCCCCGGGCUCAACCUGGGAAUUGCAUUGGAGACUGCAAGGCUAGAAUCUGGCAGAGGGGGGUAGAAUUCCACGUGUAGCAGUGAAAUGCGUAGAUAUGUGGAGGAACACCGAUGGCGAAGGCAGCCCCCUGGGUCAAGAUUGACGCUCAUGCACGAAAGCGUGGGGAGCAAACAGGAUUAGAUACCCGAGUAGUCCCA